AGUGAACGCUGGCGGUAGGCCUAACACAUGCAAGUCGAACGGCAGCACAGUAAGAGCUUGCUCUUACGGGUGGCGAGUGGCGGACGGGUGAGGAAUACAUCGGAAUCUACUUUUUCGUGGGGGAUAACGUAGGGAAACUUACGCUAAUACCGCAUACGACCUACGGGUGAAAGCAGGGGAUCUUCGGACCUUGCGCGACUGAAUGAGCCGAUGUCGGAUUAGCUAGUUGGCGGGGUAAAGGCCCACCAAGGCGACGAUCCGUAGCUGGUCUGAGAGGAUGAUCAGCCACACUGGAACUGAGACACGGUCCAGACUCCUACGGGAGGCAGCAGUGGGGAAUAUUGGACAAUGGGCGCAAGCCUGAUCCAGCCAUACCGCGUGAGUGAAGAAGGCCUUCGGGUUGUAAAGCCCUUUUGUUAGGAAAGAAAAGCAGCAGGUUAAUACCCCGCUGUUCUGACGGUACCCAAAGAAUAAGCACCGGCUAACUUCGUG
rnacentral:rRNA from 1 species